GUGGCAGUCGCCGCGGUAAUACGGAGGGUGCAAGCGUUAAUCGGAUUUAUUGGGCGUAAAGGGCGCGUAGGCGGGGUGGAAAGUUAGAUGUGAAAGCCCGGAGCUCAACUCCGGUCCCGCAUCUAAUACUCCCAUCCUAGAGGAUGGACGGAGAAAAGGGAAUUCCACGUGUAGCGGUGAAAUGCGUAGAUAUGUGGAAGAACACCAGUGGCGAAGGCGCUUUUCUAGUUUAUUCCUGACGCUGAGGCGCGAAAGCAAGGGGAGCAAACAGGAUUAGAUACCCUGGUAGUCCUUGCUGUAAACGAUGUACACUUGAUGUAGCUGGUCCCAACCCCAGCUGUGUCGGAGCUAACGCGUUAAGUGUACCGCCUGAGGAGUACGCUCGCAAGGGUGAAACUCAAAAGAAUUGACGGGGGCCCGCACAAGCAGUGGAGCAUGUGGUUUAAUUCGAUGCAACGCGAAGAACCUUACCCAGACUUGACAUAUCUUUGACAGCGGCAGAAAUGUCGUUUUCCGAAAGGACAGAGUUACAGGUGCUGCAUGGCUGUCGUCAGCUCGUGCCGUGAGGUGUUGGGUUAAGUCCCGCAACGAGCGCAACCCUUAUCACUAGUUGCCAACACUUAGGGUGGGAACUCUAGUGAGACUGCCCGGGUUAACCAGGAGGAAGGUGAGGAUGACGUCAAGUCAGCAUGGCCCUUAUGUCUGGGGCCACACACGUGCUACAAUGGCCGGUACAGAAGGCAGCAAAACCGCAAGGUGGAGCAAAUCCCAAAAACCGGUCUCAGUUCGGAUUGUAGUCUGCAACUCGACUACAUGAAGUUGGAAUUGCUAGUAAUGGCGAGUCAGCCACAUCGCCGUGAAUACGUUCCCGGGCCUUGCACACACCGCCCGUC
rnacentral:rRNA from 1 species